ACUCCUACGGGAGGCAGCAGUGGGGAAUAUUGCACAAUGGAGGAAACUCUGAUGCAGCGACGCCGCGUGAGUGAAGAAGGUCUUCGGAUCGUAAAACUCUGUCCUUGGUGACGAAAAAAUGACGGUAGCCAAGGAGGAAGCCCCGGCUAACUACGUGCCAGCAGCCGCGGUAAUACGUAGGGGGCGAGCGCUGUCCGGAUUUACUGGGCGUAAAGGGUGAGUAGGCGGUAAUAUGUGUCAGAUGUAAAAGGCUAUGGCUUAACCAUAGUUGGCAUUUGAAACUGUAUUACUUGAGUGCAGGAGAGGUAGGUGGAAUUCCUAGUGUAGCGGUGAAAUGCGUAGAUAUUAGGAGGAACACCAGUGGCGAAGGCGACUUACUGGACUGUAACUGACGCUGAGUCACGAAAGCGUGGGUAGCAAACAGGAUUAGAUACCCUGGUAGUC
rnacentral:rRNA from 1 species